UGCUCAGAACUGAGGCUGCCAGCUUGAUACCAGCCUGAGAAAGAUACCAAGGGAUGACAGCAGAGCAGAAAGAUGAAACUGGUCCUGAAUGUCACUGUAGAAUGGAUGAUUCAACCAGCCUUGGAUCUGCUCUCCCCCUGGAAUUCCUGAUAUGUCAACUGGUCCAGGCUAGAACCCAGACUUCUGUUUAUGUUCACAACUUCUUCAUCGACUUUUGCUCCAGGACCCAGACCAAAGGGAGGAAUGCUACUCGGUGUACGUUCCUCUCAUGUUGGUAUAGAUUCCACCUAUGUCAGUACCUUACAACACUCUAUGAGUGGUCAUCCAGCUUCUAGAGAA